rnacentral:SRP_RNA from 1 species
GCCAGGCGUGGUGGCGCAUGCCUGUAGUCCCAGCUACUCGGGAGGCUGAGGCAGGAGAAUCGCUUGAACCCAGGAGGUGGAGGUUGCAGUGAGCUGAGAUCAUGCCACUGCCCUCCAGCCUGGGUGACAGAGUGAGACUCCAUCUCAA